ACUACAGGCCGGGUUAUCGCUUUCCUGCAAAGGAAGGAGGAAAGUCCGGACAGCACAGAGCAAUGCACCGGUGAAGAGCCGGCCAUUCGUUUCCUCCGCUUGCGGGGGUGCGGAUGAGAGACAGUGCCACAGAAAAUAACAGCCCUGUAAGCGUAAGCAAAUGGGGUAAAGAUGAAAACGUGGGGUAAGAGCCCACGGCUUUUGGUGGCAACACCAAUCGCGGGUAAACCUUGCAUGCUGAAAUGCCACAUAUAGUACCCUUAAGGGCGGCUCGUCCGGGGACCGGCUGCAAAGCCGGGACAGGGUACAGGGUAGGCAGAUGGAUUCCGCCGGGUAACUGACGGAACAGAUAAAUGAUAACCAUUACCUGCCUUCGCCAAGGCUAGGGCAGGUGAUACAGAAUCCGGCUUACAGGCCUGUAGUUUUU
rnacentral:RNase_P_RNA from 1 species